rnacentral:lncRNA from 1 species
AUGGCAGAUGAGGCCACCUGACAUGUUGUGUCUGAGACUCUGGCACUGAAGACUAAUGCAGGACCCCGAGAUUGGGAGUUGUGGGUGCAGUGAUUGAAGGAGGAAUAUCAGUCCCUUAUCUGGUAUGUGGAGAACAACAACAAUGGCGACAACGAUGGUUCCAACUGGAGUCCAGCAAGGUAGGGACUCGGUGGUUUGGAAAAUGUUGGUAUAUCCAUGGCCUCCUGCAAUGUGAGUUUGACGUCAAGUUUGAAAUUCCUAUCAUGUAUCUUACUACUGCCCUAGAAAUUGCUGUCCCUGAGCUCGACAGAAAGACAGCAAAGAUGUACAGAGGUGGCACAAUUGCCUGACAGAUCAUUUCAAAUCUUUGUGGGCCAGGAACGUACCCAAAUUUGAACUAGCUCAUUUCAUGGCUCUGGGGCCGGGUCCAUGGCUGGCAGUGGAAAUCCCUGAUCUGAUUCAGAAGAGGGUAUUCCAGCACAAAGAGAAAUGUAACCAA